AGGGGCUUCACUCAUCGGGAAUUCAACAUAUUAUCAUUAUUGGUCGUGGGAAGAGACUGAGAUUUGUGAAUGUGAAAAUUGAGAAUGGCUUGCUUUUAAGGAGAUAUACUUACCUAAGCAACGAAAGCAGCUACUCGGUCAGCCAAGAAGAUGGUGUUGAUGUAAGGAUUUCUGACAGUAAUUCUGACGAUGAUGAAAGUAUGAAGUCCAUGGAAGCAUUAUUGUACAACUCAGAUGCUUCCGACUUUGACCCGAAUGGAU
rnacentral:misc_RNA from 1 species